rnacentral:piRNA from 1 species
UGUCUGUGAAGUUUACGUCAGCG